AAUCUGGUUGAUCCUGCCAGAGGCGACCGCUAUUGGAGUUCGAUUAAGCCAUGCGAGUAGAAAGAAAUUAGAUUCUUUGCAUACUGCUCAGUAACACGUGGAUAACCUGCCCUACACUGGGGGAUAAUCUCGGGAAACUGAGCAUAAUACCCCAUAGACCACUACGCCUGGAACGGUGAGUGGUUGAAAGCUCAGGCGGUGUAGGAUGGGUCUGCGGCGUAUCAGGUCGUAGGGGGUGUAAUGGACCUCCUAGCCAUCGACGCGUACGGGUUGUGGGAGCAAUAGCCCGGAGACGGAUUCUGAGACACGAAUCCGGACCCUACGGGGUGCAGCAGGCGCGAAAACUUCACACUGCAGGAAACUGUGAUGAGGGAACUCCAAGUGACUGCACAAUGUGUAGCCUUUUCUUGAAUCUUAAUAGUUCUUGGAAUAAGGGCUGGGAAAGACCGGUGCCAGCCGCCGCGGUAAUACCGGCAGCUCAAGUGGUCGUCGCUUUUAUUGGGCCUAAAACGUCCGUAGCCUGUUUGGUAAAUCUGUGGGUAAAUCAACGAGCUUAACUCGUUGAAUUCUGCAGAGACUGCCAGACUAGGGACCGGGAGAGGUAUGAGGUACUCUGGGGGUAGGGGUAAAAUCCUGUCAUCCUCAGAGGACCACCUGUUGCGAAGGCGUCAUACUGGAACGGAUCCGACGGUCAGGGACGAAGCCUAGGGGCACGAACCGGAUUAGAUACCCGGGUAGUCCUAGGUGUAAACGCUGUGGAUUUGGUGUGUGGGGUCCGCAAUGGGCCCCAUGUGCCGGAGUGAAGAUGUUAAAUCCACUGCCUGGGGAGUACGGUCGCAAGGCUGAAACUUAAAGGAAUUGGCGGGGGAGCACUGCAACGGGAGGAGCGUGCGGUUUAAUUGGAUUCAACGCCGGAAAACUCACCAAGGCCGACUGUUA
rnacentral:rRNA from 1 species